AGCGAACGCUGGCGGCUGGCCUAAUACAUGCAAGUCGAACGGCUCUUCGGAGCAGUGGCGGACGGGUGAGUAACACGUGGGAACGUGCCCUUUGGUACGGAACAACUGAGGGAAACUUCAGCUAAUACCGUAUGUGCCCCCAUUCUUAGCGGGAUGGGUGGGAAAGAUUUAUCGCCAUUGGAGCGGCCCGCGUUGGAUUAGCUAGUUGGUGGGGUAAAGGCCCACCAAGGCUACGAUCCAUAGCUGGUCUGAGAGGAUGAUCAGCCACACUGGGACUGAGACACGGCCCAGACUCCUACGGGAGGCAGCAGUAGGGAAUCUUGCGCAAUGGGCGAAAGCCUGACGCAGCCAUGCCGCGUGAAUGAUGAAGGUCUUAGGAUUGUAAAAUUCUUUCACCGGGGAAGAUAAUGACGGUACCCGGAGAAGAAGCCCCGGCUAACCUCGUGCCAGCCGCCGCGGUAA
rnacentral:rRNA from 1 species